rnacentral:rRNA from 1 species
ACCAAGGGUUCCAGGGCCAGGCUAAUCCGCCCUGGGUAAGUCGGGACCUAAGGCGAGGCCGACAGGCGUAGUCGAUGGACAACGGGUUGAUAUUCCCGUACCGGCGAAGAACCGCCCAAGCUAAUCCAGUAAUGCUAAGACUCUGAAACCGUCGUCGCUGUGCCCUUCGGGGUUCCAGGAUCACGGCGUAGCGGUCGACCCAGUCUGGUGCGGCUAGCGUAUUAACAGGUGUGACGCAGGAAGGUAGCCGAGCCGGGCGAUGGUUGUCCCGGUCUAAGGGUGUAGGGCGAGUCAUUGGCAAAUCCGUGACUCAUGGCCUGAGACCCGAUGGGUAGUCCUCACGGACGAAAUCGAUGAUCCUAUGCUGCCGAGAAAAGCAUCGACGCGAGGUUCAAGCCGCCCGUACCCCAAACCGACUCAGGUGGUCAGGUAGAGAAUACCAAGGAGAUCGAGAGAAUCGUGGUUAAGGAACUCGGCAAAAUGCCCCCGUAACUUCGGGAGAAGGGGGGCCAGAAGCGUGAAGGCACUUGCUGCCGGAAGCGUGGACGGCCGCAGAGACCAGUGGGAAGCGACUGUUUACUAAAAACACAGGUCCGUGCGAAGUCGCAAGACGAUGUAUACGGACUGACGCCUGCCCGGUGCUGGAAGGUUAAGAGGAAGGGUCAGCCGCAAGGCGAAGCUCAGAAUUUAAGCCCCAGUAAACGGCGGUGGUAACUAUAACCAUCCUAAGGUAGCGAAAUUCCUUGUCGGGUAAGUUCCGACCUGCACGAAUGGCGUAACGACUUCCCAGCUGUCUCAACCGCGAACUCGGCGAAAUUGCACUACGAGUAAAGAUGCUCGUUACGCGCAGCAGGACGGAAAGACCCCGUGACCUUUACUAUAGUUUGGUAUUGGUGUUCGGUGCGGCUUGUGUAGGAUAGGUGGGAGACUUUGAAGCGGGCACGCCAGUGUUCGUGGAGUCAUUGUUGAAAUACCACUCUGGUCGCUCUGGAUGUCUAACUUCGAACCGUGAUCCGGUUCAGGGACAGUGCCUGAUGGGUAGUUUAACUGGGGCGGUUGCCUCCCAAAAAGUAACGGAGGCGCCCAAAGGUUCCCUCAACCUGGUUGGCAAUCAGGUGUCGAGUGUAAGUGCACAAGGGAGCUUGACUGUGAGAGAGACAUCUCGAGCAGGGACGAAAGUCGGGACUAGUGAUCCGGCAGUGGCUUGUGGAAGCGCUGUCGCUCAACGGAUAAAAGGUACCUCGGGGAUAACAGGCUGAUCUUGCCCAAGAGUCCAUAUCGACGGCAUGGUUUGGCACCUCGAUGUCGGCUCGUCGCAUCCUGGGGCUGGAGUAGGUCCCAAGGGUUGGGCUGUUCGCCCAUUAAAGCGGUACGCGAGCUGGGUUUAGAACGUCGUGAGACAGUUCGGUCCCUAUCCGCUGCGCGCGUUGGAAGUUUGAGAAGAUCUAUCCCUAGUACGAGAGGACCGGGAUGGACGAACCUCUGGUGUGUCAGUUGUUCCGCCAGGGCACCGCUGAUUAGCUACGUUCGGACCGGAUAACCGCUGAAAGCAUCUAAGCGGGAAGCCGUCUUCGAGAUGAGA